rnacentral:lncRNA from 1 species
GGGGGGGGGAUUAGACCCAAUACUAGAACUGGUUUUGGGCCUAGGCAAAUGAUUUUUUUUUCUUUUUAAUACCUCGUUUGUAUUCUUGUCCUCUCUUCCUCUCUCUGUUUGGGUCAGUUUUUGCUUAAUUUUUAAGUGGGUUUGGUUUUUCUACUUCUAUGGGUCGGGGUUGCGGGUUGCCCAAUAAAAACCGAAGCAGUGAAACCCUAAUCUCUCUACCUCUCUCAUUCUCUCUCGCCAAACGCCAAAUGUGGAAGCCCUAAUGCCGUCGUCGACUCUAUUUUGAAUCAAAUCAUCCACGCCGAUCACCAUUUUCCUUAAAUAGUAUUUUCAAUCCAAAUAGCAUUUUCAGAGAUAGCUAAGGUAUGUAGGCAUUACUCUUUUCUUGAUGAGAUACUAAAAUUAAUUGCAAAAAGGUUUGGUACAAGGCAAUGUUGGAGUGCUAGUCAGCUCGCCAUGAAUUUGGGGUUGAUUUUACCAUUUUAUAGUUGACCUAAUUGCCCUUUUCUGAUGCCUUAGGUUUCUUUCAUUUUUUAUUUUUCUAUGAAAUUCCCUUGAGCAUCUAGGUGUUGAAGUUUUUUUCAUUUUGCAAGCACCUCAGAGGAGUCGACAAGAAUUGCUAAAGGAAGUGAAGGAAAAAAAGCUGCUUAUGUUUUAGUUGAAUCUGAUAAAGCCAAGUUGUCUGACAAGUAACAAUUUAGUGUUGGUUUUAUUUAUCACUUUUAAUUGUUUUGCCUUAGACUAUGACAUUUUCUUGCCUUAGAAUAAUGAGGAUGUGAAUCUGUUACUAGCAUUGUCCUUUAUUUAGUUGAAUACUACUUUUAUUUGGUACUCUAUUGAUAUCUCUUCUCGAUAUUAGUUUUUCCUGGCUAAUUAUGGGAAAAAAUGGUGGACAUGCUUGGGACAGAAUGAUAAUUUGUCUUUAUAAUAAUCAGUUAACUCACAACUUUAGUAUUUUGGAACAAGCUCCACCUACAAAAGUGAGGAUUUAAGUAGUGAAUGGAGAGAAAUAUUUCAAACUGAGAUUUUAGGUAAAGUUUGCUGGUGCUUUUGGUGUGGAUAUUUGGCGAACUGACCAACCCAACCCAACUCGAUCGAAACUUUGUUAGGUUAGGUUGGAACACUUUCACGGGUUGGGUUGGUUUGAUUUUAUAUCAAAUCGACCAUGUUUUGGUUGGGUUUGGCUUGGGAGAAAAAUCGACCCGACCCGACCCGACCCAACCCAUGCCCACCCCUACUACCUGGCUCUGCCCUACUAAUAUAAAAUCUAUUUUUUAUAUAAUAUGCAUUCACAUUUCAGUAUUCCUUCUCUUUUUUUGCAUCCAACAAUUUCUUAAGUGAAGUGGGCUGAAUUAGUUGAAGUUUCCAAAACCAUUAUUGCAAUUCUAACUAAAAUUCAGUAUCCAAUUUUCACUUUUGUAAAGAAACUACUUGGCUAGAUGAGUUUAGGCUGUAACUGGAAUUGGAGUUUUGUUAAUGUGGUUUAGCCGUUUGGAUUUUUAAUUUUUGUUAUUAACAUAUAUUACAGAAUGACAAUCAAAAAUGUCCAAAAAAACAAAACCAUUAUAGUAAUUAGUUGUACAGAAGAGGAAACGAGCGAGGGAGGAAGAAUUAGAAAACUACAGUAUUAUUAGCUCCAAAGAGCAAUAUGAAAAUUAUGUAAACUUUUUAUUGUCUAACCUUAUUUGUAUGGGAAAUUAACUAUGACAUAAAGUAUUGUGAAAGAGUCUUAUUUGUCUUAUGUUAACAACUUGAUUGGGGGAAGAACUAUGUUCAAUUUUUUUUUUUUUUUUUUAUUCCCUCUCUUCAGGUGCGAAAAAGUAAAAAAAAUGCUUGUUAUUUAUUAUAUUUAAUUAAAUAUAAAAUAUUCAAACAACACUAGAAAAAGAAAGGCUAUUUACAUUCCUUUUAUUUUUCAUUUGAAUUUUAAUUUCAUAUUCGGAAUAAAAAGUAAACUAUCGAUCUUCUUUAGCUCCGAUAGUGGGACUAUGUCACUAUGUGAACCCCCUCCUAAAUUUUUUGAAACAAGAAGGACUAAUGCGAUAACCUUAGAAAAGACACAAGAACUUAACAAGUUGAGGGACAAAUUUGCUUCAUAUGGCCUUAAAUUGACUUAUAUGUGCAAGAGAUGCAUAUUGAUGAUGGUUCAUGCAUCAAUCAAAUUUGUAAAGUACAUGAAAUUUGCACAAACAAUACUGCUUGGCAGAAUUCAAAUUGUCUUGAAAUUCUAAUUUCCUCUGUAAAAUUAAGUUCAAAGAUGAUAUAUAAACUCAUUUUGAAAUGAUUAUGAUAUAUUUGAGUAAUGUUUUCUUUACUUAUUUAUUUGGAAGGGAUUUUGUUUCAUCUACUAAUUCAUCAUAUCAUAUUAAGGCAUAUAUAAACAAAAUCUAAAGAAUUUUUCAAUAUUAAGGCAUAUAUAAACAAAAUCUAAAGAAUUUUUCAUUCUAUCAGAUUCAAAUUGUGAAACUAACAAAUUUCAGAUAUGGCAAGGAAAAAAAAAGGCUAUUAUGGAAGAUUUAUUAAAUGGUAAUUACAGAAAACAUGUUGGUCAUUGUAUUUUCAGACAAUUUUCCUCCUCAGUAGACUAUAUUUGUAGAGACAACAAGAAUAAUGUAGUAUAAUAGAAAGUUUUUGUGUUGCUAAUGUUUUGUUGCUGAGAACAUUCUUCAUAUGGUGCUUGCUUCUUUCUUAUUUUCCGUAUAUAAAUGAGUACUUUUUCUGUGAACUAUUUAGGACAAAAGAUGGUACUUUUCUGAUGCUCUUGCUUGUUAAUUUGGGAGUUCUUAUUGUAUUUCCUUCUAUUUUGUUUCUCCUCGAACAUAUUUUAGACACAAAAAUAAUUGUAGUUAUGUGGAGUCAUAAAACUAGUCCACUGAAGGAUCAGAACUCUUACCGCCUAAUUAUGUUGUUUUAGAUAAUAUGUUUCUGUUAUAAACAAUAAUAAUUAUUUUCCUACUGAUGUGUGUUAUGUGACUUUUCAGUUAUAACCAAUUUUUCUUACUGCUAUGGCUUGUUUAUGAAAUAAUUACAAGUAUAUAAGUAUGAGAAACAGAAAGAAUAGAAAACUUAUUUUUCCAGGUACAUAAUUCGUCAUCUGGAUUGAAAACAAACUACCAUGUGUACAUGAGUGAUUGAUAGAGAUGAUUUGCUAUGCCUCAUAUGGAUCAUUCAUUAUUUAAAGUUAUUUUAUCAAUAUGGUUGAUGAGUGAGGUUUAAGGAACUCGAAAGUACUUAUCAAAUGUUCCCUUUAUUUUAUGUUAUGAACUUUAAAGUUUUUCUUUUUUCUCUUUUAAUUGUCAAUUACAUGUUAUUUAUAUAUUUUUAUGUUUUCUUUAUUUAUGGUUUUGUAAUGUAAAAUGAAUUAGUGGGGAAAUAAAUAUGAGAGUACUGUAUGUACAUUUGUUAAGUUAUUAAUACAUUAUGCUUUAAAAUCUCUUUGAGGUUUAUGUUAAUAUGCUGAACAAAUAUUUUAUUUACACUUUACAAUAAAAAUUAUUUCACUUAGCUUUCGAGUCAAUACUCAUUCAUUGUCAUCUAAGGUUGUUGCGUGAUAUGCUAUCUAUGAUUUUCUAAGUCAAAACCUGAAUACGUGGGAUUUUUUUUCUGCAGUUAGUGUUAAUGAAGUGAAGUUUAAACAUUAGCAAUUCUGUAACUGACGAUGGGUUAAUAAAUAAGGUAAUUUGCUUUCAACAUUUAUGAAAUCAUCCUUUGUACUUUAAAUAUAUCGUGAUUACACACAUCCUCUGGUUUUUUCACCUUGUUUCGUAUUUGACUCUUUAUCAUUAUGGAGUUUGAGUAAUCAUUUUAUUUUAUUUAGUAAAAAUAAUUGACAACAACUUUGCAAAGUGUAAAGACAAGGAUGAUCGAAAUCUGUUUUAUAAAUAACAUCAUCAUAUUCAAUAUUUUUAGUAUAGAACUUUCUUCCACUCUGAAAAUCAUAACAGCUAUGCAUUGUUUGUGGUUAAAACUCAUAACUUUUUGUAAUUUCCAAGUCUUCUUAAUUAUAAUUUCCAAGUCUUCUGGUUGCAUUGAUUUUUGUUGAUUAUCUGAUGCCAAAACUAGAUUUCCCGACAGUUCAUCUAUCGAUAGUUGUUGCUCAACUGUCGUUCCCGACAGUUAGCCUCAGUAAUUCUCGACAGAUAAAAAUGUCGGGAUCGACAGUUCAGUUCCUGCUUGCCUAGCCCUGCCUACCAGUAGAAAAUGAUAUUUCUAUGUAAUAUGCGUUCAGAUAUGAGUAUUCAUUUUAUUUUUUGCAUGCAACAAUUUCUGAAGUUCAGUGGACUGAAUUAGGGCUAUUUUAUUGAAGUAAUAUGGUUGGCACUCAUAUGCAUUUGGUGGAAAUCAUGUUUGAUGUGGGCAUAUCUUCCGUUUCAAUAUUUCUGUUACUUGUGUCAUAACCUUGCUUUCACUUGCACACAUUGAGCUUGUGGGCGGCACUCGUUGCAUUUGGGAGGAACUGUUGAAAGACACUUCACAACAUACUUGUGAUUUUUGGUCCUAUGCUGGUAGGAAGUUUAUAUUGUAGUGUGACGCAUUUAUUUCCUAUUUUGUUUCUGUAGACAUGGAUUUGAGCCUCUUGUUCCAGAGAAUGCACGCUUGCGGGGCCACGUAUCGCAGAGAAGCAAUCUGCGAUAUAUAAAAACAGUUGUCGAAUAUUUUGACGAGCGACAGCGGGCAGACUUUCGCAACUCAUGCCUUGGGUUCUUGUCCGAGGUUCCGGAUCUCCAAUUCUCUGCCCAAUUAAUCCAACAACUCGUAUUCUGCUGCAUACAAACAAAUAAGCGGCACGAACUGUGGUUUAAUUUGCAAGGCCACCUCGUCAGGUUCGGAAUUCAAGAAUAUGCCCUGGUCACAGGAUUAAGGUAUGGUCUUCUCCCGGAUGACAAUGUCGUGGACCGAGUUCUUGACAAGAGGAGACUAAAGGACAAAUACUUUAAACAUGUUGACAAGAUUUUAUGGUAUGGAUGAAUUUGGUCACGUUCUCUGGAUACGUGCAGAAACUGCAUCUCCAUAAUAGGCAAUCGCAGUAGUGUAGGUUUUCAAGCCGCUGUUGUUACCAACUGCCGAGAAUUACAGAGACUAUCUGUCGGAAACGACAUAUGAACUGUCGAGACGUAAUGUUGGUGUUUUGUUUGUUCACUAUGGUCUCAUGAAAAUCAAUUUUUCAUUUCGACAAACUGUCAGUCGAAGCUAAUGAAACUUCUAUGAUCGGCUAAGUUUAUAUUAAGAAAAAGGUAUUCAUCUCGUUUGUGAUAAUGGAACUGUAAUGAUCGGUACUUUGCUUGUGGAACAUAACGACCAAAUUUGAUUUGACG